UGCCUCCUGUCCAUUCAGUCUGACUCCAAUGUGGUUCUGCAGCAGUGGACAAAGAUGGGAGAUUGAAACAGGAGCCCCUGCGAUGGGGAAACAGAGCCAGGGAGCACGGGUUGGACAGUUUUUUUUAUAGGAUUGAUGACCAAAGAAGGCAGCUAUAAUGUUUUAUUCUCAAGAUGAUGGUUACUCAUCUUAGAAGAACAACAACAACAACAACAACAAAAACAUAACAGAUGAAUGGGAAGAGCCCCAUCAAAGCUUUAUUCUACUCCUCAACAACUCAGGAAUUAAGCCUAAAGCUGCAGAUGAAAUUUUGCCACCAUGAAGAAAAGAGGAAAUCAGAAUUGGAUUCUUUCUGAAGUUUUCCUUUACAAUAGCCAGUAUAUGCCCUUUCCUACUUGAGCAAGUAUAAACUGGGUUCCUGUGAUUUGCAACCAAGUGUCCUGACAAACACAAGGAUGAAAGACAACUGUGUCUCAAUAAAGAAAAAAUAGUUUAUUUUUAUGAGUGGUGGAUUUAAAAAACCUACAUUACUGUGAGAAGAGUACCUUAAAACAUUUAAGUCUA